rnacentral:SRP_RNA from 1 species
GCUGGGUGCGGUGGCCUGUGCCUGUAGUCCCAGUUACUCUGGAGGCUGAGGUGGGAGGAUCGCUUGAGCCCAGGAGUUCUGAGCUGUAGUGCGCUCCACCGAUCAGGUGUCUGCACUAAGUUCGGCAUCAAUAUGGUGACCUCCCGGGAGUGGGGGACCACCAGGUUGCCUAAGGAGGGGUGAACCAGCCCAGGUGAGAAACGGAGCAGGUCAAAACUUCCAUGCUGCAUGCUGAUCAGUAGUGUGAUCCCACCUGUGAAUAGACACUGCACUCCAGCCUGGGCAACGUAGCAAGACCAGGUCCCU